AGGAAGCAGGGCCAGCCCGGUUAUGCAAGCCUGAUGGGUGAUAAGGAAGCAAAAGAGCAACAGACGUGCACAGACCACAGCACGGCUCCGCGAGCAGGAGGAGGGACGUUACUGAGGCAAGACCAACUCACCCUGGACAACAGACACGGGGCCAGGUGGAGCAGACAGCCCCAGCUGCACACCCCCUGGUUCUGGCAGAGGCACUCAGAUGUCACAGGGAGCCCUCAUCACAGCUCAGACACGACCAGAUCACAGGAUGGCUGUGCAAGCAGGAGGACGGGACCCAGCCUCUGGCCCCCAGAUGCUAAAAUCCCCACCAAAAAGAGAAAGUUAAGUACUUGAUGACCAUGAGGACCUUGGCCUGAGGAUUGAUGCUCACCCCUGUGACACCACUCUGUUACCUCAUCAUCAAUCAAUCAGAGAAUUAUGCAGGAUGUGAUCACAUACUCUGCAACUCCCCUCCAGCACCUUGACUUUAAAAAUGCUUCCUUGAAAUACACCAGGGAGUUCUAGCUUUUAGAGCAUGAGCUGACCCAGUCUCCUCGUCUGGCGCCUUACCACAAUUCAGUGUCAGUAGUUGGCUUUACUGUGCGGGGGCGAGCGGACCAGACCCAAGUUUGGUUCCCUAACACUCCUACAGUUUAUAUCCUAGUAUUAAAGUGCGUAAGUCAAUUAAGCCUGUUGGAAGGCAAGAGUCCCACGGGAAAAGUAGAAGUAGGGGAAAGAGUAUAAAAUGGAGAGACUGCAAAUUUAAAUAAUCACUUAAAUAAAAACACGAACGAGAGACACAGGUACCCAAAGGGAAGAGUGGACCGGACAAAAACCCGUGCACAGGGUCUGGUGGUAGCGUCACGUGCAAGACCGCAGAGCCUCCGAGAAGCCGGCGUUGCUGGGCAGAGAGCGUC